CACUGCAUGGCAAGAGAUUCCAUAACCAUGUCCCUGGAGGAGCCAGCGGUGAGGGCUGGUCGCCGUGAAGCUAACUACUCCCCCAAGUUUGUGACAUGCAGUAAGGAUCUCUGUGGCCCACGGGAUUCCAAAGCGUGGCCAUGCAGGUUCAAGGCCUGGCUCUCCACUGCAUUUGGUUUUGCUACUUGCCAUCCAUGGAAGCUCGGGCUGACUGGACGACUAGGCCCUGCUCAGUUGUCUACACAUUGGAGUCUGAAGGGAACACAGGCUGACUGACUGAUGGGUGUAUGCAUGCAUUGGAGAGAAGGAGCCCUCUGCCUGAAUAAUUGAGCCUCCAGAGUCUCCUGAGGGAAUCCGGGAUGACAGGGAACUCCCUUCGUGUUAGUCGGCAGCUGAAAGGCACACUACA